rnacentral:lncRNA from 1 species
AGUUGCCCUGGCUCAGCGACCACCCUUCAGGCUCCCCAACUCCCGUUGGUCCCGAACUCCCCUCCCCCGCACCCCAUCCUUUCGGAUCCCAGUUGCUCCAGGUGGGCGGGUGCUACCACCCCCACCGCUCGGUUCGGUGCUGCGGCUGUCAGUGCCCAGCAGGGGCGGGGUCAGUGGAGCCCCGCGCGGGGGUCGGAGUAGGGAGGAUUGACGAGGUCGGCCAGCACCCAACCCUCCAGGUCAGAGGCCCUUCACAUUUGCAGGGGCCUGCGUGGUUGGCAGAGCUCUUUUGCCCACCACCAUCUCGUUUGGCCUUCACAGCAACUCUAAGGAAAUGCAGGGCAAAUUCCCAAUUUUUUUAAAAGGGGAAACUGAGACUGCAGAGAAAUUCAGUGACUUUGAGGUUGCAGACGGGGCUGAUCCUGGUUUUGCAGGAAGCGCAGCUCAUACAAUUUGUGGGGACCCUCAUUAGGAAAGAGUACAAAAAGUUACGCGCAGAAGGGUAGGAAAGUGAAUGUAUAUUUAGAAAGAGAAAGAAAAAACAAAUGAUAUUUUAAAAGUUAAUAAAACCCACAAACAUCACACACAUAACCGUAAUAUUUUCAUUGACUGCCUGAUAUUCUUCUACAGGGCGUCUGAGAGCCCAGAAACCUAUUUUUUUCUAAAAGAUUGAAGUCGCCCCCGACAUUAUGUAUAUUCACCUGUGUUUCCAGACUUUGGGAGCACCAUUUAUGAUCAUUUUUCCCACCUUUGUUUUGGCUGCGUACUUCUGAUUGCCUUUUCCUAUAACAAUUAUUUUGUAACUUUUUUUUUUUUUUUUUUUUUUUGUUUUUUGCAGACAGUCCUGCUGUGCCACCCAGGCUGGAGUGUAGUGGUGCAAUUCGGUUCACUGCAACCUCUGCCUCCCGGGUUCAAGCAACUCUCCUGCCUCAGCCUCCCAAGUAGUUGGGAUUACAGGUGCUCACCACCACGCCCGGCUAAUUUUUGUAAACUUAGUAGAGUCAGAGUUUCCCCAUGUUGGCCAGGCUGGUCUCAAACUCCUGACCUCAUGUGAUCUGCCCGCCUCAGCCUCCCCAAAGUGCUGGGAUUACAGGUGAGAGCCACCGCGCCCGGCGUAUUUUGUAAUUCUCUAUAAAGAAAAGAGAAAGAUCAGUCUUUUCUCCAGCAUGGCUGAUUAAAUUUGUUUCUUAAUAAUUGUUUAUAAAUUUAUUUCAGCAUCACAACUCAUUACUGAUAUUGUUAACGUACUUUUUUAGGGUUAUUGUUCAGUUUGGGAAACCUCUCUCAAGUUUCAUGGAUGUGCUAUGAGAUUUUUAUGGCCGUUUGGCUGCUUCAGUGACAAUUUUGUGUGUGGUUUUUACUGAAGCCCUAGAGAGUUUUUUUCUUUUUUUUGAGACGGAGUCUCUCUCUGUCGCCCACGCUGGAGUGCAGUGGCGCGAUCUUGGCUCACUGCAAGCUCCGCCUCCAGGGUUCACGCCAUUCUCCUGCCUCAGCCUCCUGAGUAGCUGGGACUAUAGGUGCCCACCACCAUGCCCGGCUAAUUUUUUUGUAUUUUUAGUAGAGACGAGGUUUCACCGUGUUAGCCAGGAUGGUCUCAAUCUCCUGACCUUGUGAUAUGCCCGCCUCGGCCUCCCAAAGUGCUGGGAUUACAGGCGUGAGCCACCGCGCCUGGCCGAGGGUUUUUUUCAGGACAAGAUUUGUAUGCUGCAUUCAGACAGGAUCUCAUUCAUUACGGUGGAUAAGACAUAUAACUUCACAUACAGACAGACUCACUGUAGUACAACUAUAAGUUUUUGUCCCAUAAACAUAGGGUUUCUAAUCUAUUCCCUUUUGCAUGCUUCACAUAAAAACAUGAAGUAUGGUGCAGUUAUAAUUGCAGAUAUGACUUAGAUUCUCAGUGAGUGAGAACCUUCAUUUUGAUUAGGCAUUGAGAGAAUUGAUCCCUCUCCUUAUAAUCUUCCACUUCUGAUGGUUGGAAGCAUAUUUUUAAGUCUUUUAAUUUUAAUUACUCAAAGAAGCUUCAUUUUUUAUUUAGCUUUCUGACCCUGUGCUUGUGCCUUCAACACUCUCACAAUGAUUUUCUUUUCCUCGAUAAGGAAAACAUGCUUGAUCCUGUCACAAACACAUAUAGCACACAUGGAACCACCAUAGGCCCUGCUGACAUGGUUUUUUGUGUUUUGGACAAUCUCAUAAGACUUCGGGUCUUAUAGCACGAACCCCUUGAAGUCUGCGUGGGUACACACCACAGUAGAUUUUGGUGCUUUCCCAGCCUUCUUGGUAUAAAGGUAAGCAAUUAUAUUACCAGGGGUUCAGGACAGCCUAGUUUUAUUAGAAGCUGUAUUGUAGGAAAGCCUACAACAGUAUGUCAAACGCUGGACCAUUCUAUGUGCCUAUAGACAACAUCCCCAGAAGAGGAAAAAGAAUGGAAGAAUUUUACUAGCUCUUUCUUUUCUUUCAAACCUUGUUGCUCCUCCACUACCCAAGUACUUCCUGUGUCAGGCAACAUAGGGUUCCUUCGCCCUUUGGCCUUGCACUUUUGUGACAUGGUGCUGGCUGAAUUGACAUAAUGGGCAGUAGGUAUAUUCCAGAAAGCCAUUCCUACACCCAUGGUGAGCAAUAAUUUAAAAACAUGCAGAAGUGACUGCAAACCACUUAAAUGCAUGCCACUGACCCCAAAUUAAAUGUAUCCCUAUUCAUUGUCCCCUUAGCCAAAUCCCCCACAAAGCCUAUAGCCAUUUCAAUACCUCCUAACCAGAGGAGGAUGACGAAGGGAAGUUAGAAACGAAGACAGAGGUCUUAAAUAUCUUACUCUCAAAACUGUUACAGAAGUGUAUACUGCUAAGGCCGCUCUAAGGGCCUUGGGAGGGGCCUGUGUAAGCAAGGGGCCCUGAAGCUUGAGCUUCAUUAACUUUAUGGUAAACCCACUUCUAGUUGUAGAGGACUAAAAACUCUAAUUCUACUGCUCUAAGGUCUGUGUUCUUCCCACUUAGCUUGGAUCUUUAUAUUUAGCUUCAUUAGCUUAAAAAUAUGCAUAUUAUGUGCCUAACCUUCAAAAUGUUAUAUAUACAUAUAUAUUCCCCUGUGUUUUGCUCAGUGUUCUACCUUUAACAUUCAAUAACUGUUGGGAUGAUAAUGAGUAGGGUAAAUAUAACCCUUCUUCAUGAAAUGCUAGAUUCUGUUUUCCAAGUUUUC